rnacentral:pre_miRNA from 1 species
AAUAUAAGGAAUUUUGAGUUUUUGCUUGCAACGUUUGAAUACUCGUCUUAUUUUAAAUUUUUUUAAAAUUAUUAUUUAUUUUAUUUGUGACUUACUUUAUUAUCUACAGUACUUUAAGCAUAACUUUUUAUUUUUUUACAUUUGCAAAAAAAAAUUGAAUAAGACGAAUGUUCAAACGUUGCAAGUAAAAACUCAAAAUCUCUUAUA